rnacentral:lncRNA from 10 species
AAAGAAUUCUGAAUUCCGAAACACUUCUGGCUCAGGGACUGUUGACUCAUAUUGUACUAGCUGGAGAUAUCAUGGUGCAGUGGAUCACGCCUGUAAUCCCAGCAUUUUGGGAGACAGAGGCGGGUGGAUCACUUGAGGCCAAGAGUUCAAGACCAGCCUGGCCAAAAUGGGGAAACCUCCUCUCUUUGAAAAACACAAAAAUUAGCCCAGCAUAGUGGCGCAUGCCUGUAGUCCCAGCUACUCAGGAGGCUGACAGGAGAAUCGCUUGAACCCCAGAGGUGGAGGUUGCAGUGAGCAGAGAUUGCACCACUGCACUCCUGCACUCCAGCCUGGGUGACACCAAAAAAAGAAGAAGAAAGACGAAAGAAGAAGAAAGAAGAAAGAAGGAAACUAUUUCCAUUACUGUGAACAGCCUGUUCAUAUUGAGUUGUUGGUCUUAAAAAUCAAUUUAUAGAAAAUCAUUACAUAUUUGUGUAUAUUUUUG